rnacentral:rRNA from 1 species
GACAGAGGUGCCGAGCGUUAGGCGGAAUCACUGGGUUAACGUCGAAGUGUGUGAGGCGGAGUGCUAAGUACCUUGUGAAAUCCCACGGCUUAACCGUGGAACUGCUUGGUAUACUGGUUCUCUUGGGUCAUCUAGGGGCGAGCGGAACAAACGGUGGAGCGGUGAAAUGCGUAGAUAUCGUUUGGAACGCCAAUGGUGAAAACAGCUCGCUGGGGAUGCACCGACGCUGAGACACGAAAGCCAGGGGAGCGAACGGG